CCGCCCCGAGGAGACUGCGACCUUCCGGAGCGCGGUGUCCCGGCCUCCGCGGGACGGCCUGGGAGACGGCGAGGACUGGUGCGGUGUGCGCGGCUCCCGGCGGAGGUGCCCGGCUUUCAUGUGCACAGAUUUCAAGUUCCAGGAGGAAACUCUUAGCUUUGAGAAUACUCCAAACUAGAGUCUGGGGAAAUGAGGCUGAAUCUACACUGAAAUAAGGAAAAUGCAAAGACAUCGAUGGAGCUCUCUCCUCCCUAUUUCCAGUUGGCCGAAGGACAAUCUCAGAACAGGUCCUGAGUGAAGCCUGCAAUGGAAUUUAUUAUCCAUUAUAAUUGACAAGUAUGUAACUAGAAACAGUGGCCUCCAGGAGAGUGCUCACAGGUGAAAACUGGUGCAAUGGGGUUGAUCGAGAUACCUUCAUGAAGGUAGGAGUUGUA